AGUAGCAAUACUUUGGUGGCGACCGGCGCACGGGUGAGUAACGCGUAUGCAACCCAUCUAUCAGAGGGGAAUAACCCGGCGAAAGUCGGACUAAUACCGCAUAAAACAGGGACACCGCAUGGUGAUAUUUGUUAAAGAAAUUCGCUGAUAGAUGGGCAUGCGUUCCAUUAGGUAGUUGGUGAGGUAACGGCUCACCAAGCCGACGAUGGAUAGGGGAACUGAGAGGUUGGUCCCCCACACUGGUACUGAGACACGGACCAGACUCCUACGGGAGGCAGCAGUGAGGAAUAUUGGUCAAUGGGCGAGAGCCUGAACCAGCCAAGUCGCGUGAAGGAAGAAGGAUCUAUGGUUCGUAAACUUCUUUUGCAGGGGAAUAAAGUGCAGGACGUGUCCUGUUUUGUAUGUACCCUGAGAAUAAGGAUCGGCUAACUCCGUGCCAGCAGCCGCGGUAAUACGGAGGAUCCGAGCGUUAUCCGGAUUUAUUGGGUUUAAAGGGUGCGUAGGUGGUUUGAUAAGUCAGCGGUGAAAGUUUGCAGCUUAACUGUAAAAAUGCCGUUGAAACUGUCGGACUUGAGUGUAGAUGAGGUAGGCGGAAUGCGUGGUGUAGCGGUGAAAUGCUUAGAUAUCACGAAGAACUCCGAUUG
rnacentral:rRNA from 1 species